UACAGAGGUCCCAAGCGUUGUUCGGAUUCACUGGGCGUAAAGGGUGCGUAGGUGGUGAGGUAAGUCGGAUGUGAAAGCUCCGAGCUCAACUCGGAAAUGGCAUUGGAAACUACCUUGCUCGAGGGUUUGAGGGGGGACUGGAAUACUUGGUGUAGCAGUGAAAUGCGUAGAUAUCAAGUAGAACACCAGUGGCGAAGGCGAGUCCCUGGAAAACUCCUGACACUGAGGCACGAAAGCGAGGGGAGCAAACAGG
rnacentral:rRNA from 1 species